GCUGUUUUAGCAAAAAAGUGCAUUAAAUUUAGGAUUUAAAUAUAAGAUUCUUAAACAGCA
rnacentral:tRNA from 1 species